GUGCUUGGGCGAGAGUAGUACUAGGAUGGGUGACCCCCUGGGAAGUCCUCGUGUUGCACCCCC
rnacentral:rRNA from 1 species